GAUGAAGAACGCAGCGAAAUGCGAUACGUAAUGUGAAUUGCAGAAUUCAGUGAAUCAUCGAGUCUUUGAACGCACAUUGCGCCCCCUGGUAUUCCGGGGGGCAUGCCUGUCCGAGCGUCAUUGCUGCCCUCAAGCACGGCUUGUGUGUUGGGCCUCCGUCCUCCUCCCGGGGGACGGGCCCGAAAGGCAGCGGCGGCACCGCGUCCGGUCCUCGAGCGUAUGGGGCUUCGUCACCCGCUCUNGUNNNNNCGGCCGGCGCUUGCCGACACAUCAAUCUUUUUUCCAGGUUGACCUCGGAUCAGGUAGGGAUACCCGCUGAACUUAAGCAUAUCAAUAAGCGGAGGA
rnacentral:misc_RNA from 1 species